CAAAAGCUUGGUCCUGACUUUACUAUCAACUUUAGCUAAACUUACACAUGCAAGUAUCCGCACCCCUGUGAGAAUGCCCCACAGUCCCCUGCCCGGGAACGAGGAGCUGGUAUCAGGCACAAUUACACCCAGCCCAUGACACCUUGCUUAGCCACACCCUCAAGGGAACUCAGCAGUGAUAGACAUUAAGCUAUAAGUGAAAACUUGACUUAGUCAAAGCUAAGAGGGUCGGUAAAACUCGUGCCAGCCACCGCGGUUAUACGAGAGACCCAAGUUGAUAGACGCCGGCGUAAAGAGUGGUUAAGAUAGACUGAAACUAAAGCCGAACACCCUCAGAGCUGUCAUACGCACCCGAAGGUAAGAAGUCCAAUCACGAAAGUGGCUUUAUGUCGCCUGAACCCACGAAAGCUAUGAUACAAACUAGGAUUAGAUACCCUAUUAU
rnacentral:rRNA from 1 species